ensembl:snRNA U2 U2 spliceosomal RNA
AUCGCUUCUCGGCCUUUUGGCUAAGAUCAAGUGUAGUAUCUAUUGUUCCAAUUACUCAUGAUGUGUGUUUAUCGUAUGAAUAAAAGCAAAGUUAUCCUUA